rnacentral:rRNA from 1 species
GCGCACGCUGGCGGCAGGCUUAACACCUGCCAGUCGCGCGGACCUUUCGGGGUCAGCGGCGGACGGGUGAGUAACGCGUGGGAACGUGCCUUCCGGUUCGGAAUAACCCUGGGAAACUAGGGCUAAUACCGGAUACGCCCUUAUGGGGAAAGGUUUACUGCCGGAAGAUCGGCCCGCGUCUGAUUAGCUAGUUGGUGGGGUAACGGCCUACCAAGGCGACGAUCAGUAGCUGGUCUGAGAGGAUGAUCAGCCACACUGGGACUGAGACACGGCCCAGACUCCUACGGGAGGCAGCAGUGGGGAAUAUUGGACAAUGGGCGCAAGCCUGAUCCAGCCAUGCCGCGUGAGUGAUGAAGGCCUUAGGGUUGUAAAGCUCUUUUAUCCGGGACGAUAAUGACGGUACCGGAGGAAUAAGCCCCGGCUAACUUCGUG